UACGUAGGGGGCAAGCGUUGUCCGGAUUUAUUGGGCGUAAAGAGCGUGUAGGCGGCCAGGUAGGUCAGCUGUGAAAACUCGAGGCUCAACCUCGAGACGUCGGUUGAAACCACCUGGCUAGAGUCCGGAAGAGGAGAGUGGAAUUCCUGGUGUAGCGGUGAAACGCGCAGAUAUCAGGAAGAACACCCGUGGCGAAGGCGGCUCUCUGGGACGGUACUGACGCUGAGACGCGAAAGCGUGGGGAGCAA
rnacentral:rRNA from 1 species